GAUGAACGCUGGCGGCGUGCCUAAUACAUGCAAGUCGAGCGAACGGACGAGAAGCUUGCUUCUCUGAUGUUAGCGGCGGACGGGUGAGUAACACGUGUAUAACCUACCUAUAAGACUGGGAUAACUUCGGGACACCGUAGCUAAUACCGGAUAAUAUUUUGCACCGCAGGGUUCAAAAGUGAAAGUCGGUCUUGCUGUCACUUAUAGAUGGAUCCGCGCUGCAUUAGCUAGUUGGUAAGGUAACGGCUUACCACGGCAACGAUGCAUAGCCGACCUGAGAGGGUGAUCGGCCACACUGGAACUGGGACAGGGUCCAGGCUCCUACGGGAGGCAGCAGUAGGGAAUCUUCCGCAAUGGGCGAAAGCAUGACGGAGCAACGCCGCGUGAGUGAUGAAGGUCUUCGGAUCGUAAAACUCUGUUAUGAGGGAAGAACAUCUGUGUACGUAACUGUGCACAUCUUGACGGUACCUAAUCAGAAAGCAACGGCUAACUACGUG
rnacentral:rRNA from 1 species